ensembl:lncRNA
GAACACUGGUCCUCCUGUGUCAGCUACACCCAGGUAUGAACACUGGUCCUCCUGUGUCAGCUACACCCAGGUAUGAACACUGGUCCUCCUGUGUUGACUACACCCAGCCAGCACCCAGGUAUGAACACUGGUCCUCCUGUGUCAGCUACACCCAGCCAGCACUGAUGUAUGAACACUGGUCCUCCUGUGUCAGCUACACCCAGGUAUGAACACUGGUCCUCCUGUGUCGACUACACCCAGCCAGCACCCAGGUAUGAACACUGGUCCUCCUGUGUCAGCUACACCCAGCCAGCACCCAGGUAUGAACACUGGUCCUCCUGUGUCAGCUACACCCAGGUAUGAACACUGGUCCUCCUGUGUCAGCUACACCCAGGUAUGAACACUGGUCCUCCUGUGUCAGCUACACCCAGGUAUGAACACUGGUCCUCCUGUGUCAGCUACACCCAGCCAGCACCCAGAUAUGAACACUGGUCCUCCUGUGUCGACUACACCCAGACGUUGUGUUCAAAAUGCCUAGUGGUCCUGCCGCUGCCCCUCCCCCUCGGGACCAGGAAAUGGAAGAGGAGGAGUUUGGACCUCGGCUGCCUCCUCCUUCCUCUACAUUGACGGAGCGCCGUCCGUCCCCGACUCCCUCUGCUAAGGACGACAAGCACAAGAAGAAGUGUAAGGAGAAGCACAAAGCCAAGAAACACGGCAAGCACAAGAAGGACAAGAAGCAGAAGAAGAAGAACAAGAGGCACAAGCACAAAGGCAAGCAGAAGAAGAGCAGUAGGAAGGAGGAGUCAUCAGACAGCAGCUCAGAGGGGAGUGACGGGAACAGCCAGGAGGACGGAGAGGAGGGGGGAGGGGUAUCAACAGAAGAGCUGCUCAGAAGGUUGAAGGGCAUCCGUGGGAAGAAUCUGCAGUGAAUCUGUGAUCCGACAGACAACAGGAUGUCCUCUAUGAGGACAGAUAUCUGGAGACGGGAACCAUUCUGUAUGAAUUCCAAUAGCCCUGUAGUUAUGAUGCUGAUGAAAGUCUUACUUUACAUUUUAAAUUGUAAUUCUGAUGAGAUGUGAGUUUUUUUUUUGCUGAUCUCGGACUGAUAUGUGGAGAGAGGUCUAUCAUCUGUUAAUCAAUAAAAAUGUGAGAUUUUG